AUAUGAAGCGAUUAAUUGCAUUUAGUUUCGACCUAAUUUUAAGUAAUUUUUAUAUUACUCUUAU
rnacentral:tRNA from 1 species